rnacentral:rRNA from 1 species
ACAGAGUUAGCCGGUGCUUAUUCUGCGAGUAACGUCCACUAUCCUAGAGUAUUAAUCCAAGUAGCCUCCUCCUCGCUUAAAGUGCUUUACAACCAAAAGGCCUUCUUCACACACGCGGCAUGGCUGGAUCAGGCUUGCGCCCAUUGUCCAAUAUUCCCCACUGCUGCCUCCCGUAGG